rnacentral:piRNA from 1 species
UGGCACAAUACGUAAUUGAUAAGUUUUAUAU